rnacentral:lncRNA from 1 species
AUUUUAGCAACUAAAACAUAAAUUAGUGAUAAUAUGCUGACCAUAUACAUAUUAUCUAUCAUGCCUAAAAAAUAAACGGUAUAAAUUGUUUCAAAGAAAUAUAGUCAUAUCAUAGCAAACACGCCAUCAAUUGCACCAAGACAUGAAUAAACAGUCUGUGGUCAUAUUUUGAACGCCGAAUCAUAGAUAUAUGAUAUAUCUAUCCAUAGCAAUUUUCAUGCCGUUGAUUAUUCUUUUACUAUAAACUAUAUUCUGAUCAGUAUUUUGUAUACCCCUUCCACCAUUAGACUAAUAAGAGCUUGUUUAGAUCGGCAGGAAACGAGACAAAAUUACGUACGUACAUUUACACGGCCAAAAAAAAAAAUCACAGUAUUUAUUUAAUAAACCUCAAAAGAUCGAUGGGGG